rnacentral:rRNA from 1 species
UGCUCCCUACGGGGGGCAGCAGUAGGGAAUCUUCGGCAAUGGGGGCAACCCUGACCGAGCAACGCCGCGUGAGUGAAGAAGGUUUUCGGAUCGUAAAGCUCUGUUGUAAGAGAAGAACGUGUGUGAGAGUGGAAAGUUCACACAGUGACGGUAACUUACCAGAAAGGGACGGCUAACUACGUGCCAGCAGCCGCGGUAAUACGUAGGUCCCGAGCGUUAUCCGGAUUUAUUGGGCGUAAAGGGAACGCAGGCGGUCUUUUAAGUCUGAU